GCGGCGGANGGGUGAGUAACACGUGGGCAAUCUGCCCGAUACUCUGGGAUAACGCUUGGAAACGAGUGCUAAUACCGGAUGGUCUUCUUGGUCGCAUGGCCGAGAAGGAAAAGACGCGUUCGCGUCGGUGUCGGAUGAGCCCGCGGCGCAUUAGCUAGUUGGUGAGGUAACGGCCCACCAAGGCGACGAUGCGUAGCCGACCUGAGAGGGUGACCGGCCACACUGGGACUGAGACACGGCCCAGACUCCUACGGGAGGCAGCAGUAGGGAAUCUUCCACAAUGGGCGAAAGCCUGAUGGAGCAACGCCGCGUGAGUGAUGAAGGCCUUCGGGUUGUAAAACUCUGUCAUUCGGGACGAACCGGAGUCUGAGGAAAUGCAGACUCUCUGACGGUACCGGAGGAGGAAGCCCCGGCUAACUACGUGCCAGCAGCCGCGGUAAUACGUAGGGGGCAAACGUUGUCCGGAUUCACUGGGCGUAAAGCGCGCGCAGGCGGUGAUGUAAGUCUGAGGUGAAAACCCGAAGCUCAACUUCGGGACUGCCUUGGAUACUGCGUCACUUGAGGAUAGGAGAGGCAAGGGGAAUUCCACGUGUAGCGGUGAAAUGCGUAGAGAUGUGGAGGAACACCKGUGGCGAAGGCGCCUUGCUGGCCUAUUUCUGACGCUGAGGCGCGAAAGCGUGGGGAGCAAACAGGAUUAGAUACCCUGGUAGUCCACGCUGUAAACGAUGAGUGCUAGGUGNUAGGUGGGCUCAUACCCAUCUGUGCCGAAGCUAACGCAUUAAGCACUCCGCCUGGGGGAGUACGGUCGCAAGACUGAAACUCAAAGGAAUUGACGGGGGCCCGCACAAGCAGUGGAGCAUGUGGUUUAAUUCGAAGCAACGCGAAGAACCUUACCAGGACUUGACAUCCCAUAGACCAGUCUAGAGAUAGACUUUCCCUUCGGGGCUGUGGUGACAGGUGGUGCAUGGUUGUCGUCAGCUCGUGUCGUGAGAUGUUGGGUUAAGUCCCGCAACGAGCGCAACCCUUACUUUGUGUUGCCAGCAUUCAGUUGGGCACUCACAAGGGACUGCCGCCGAUAAGGCGGAGGAAGGUGGGGAUGACGUCAAAUCAUCAUGCCCCUUAUGUCCUGGGCUACGCACGUGCUACAAUGGGCGGUACAACGGGAUGCGAAGCCGCGAGGUGGAGCCAAACCCUGAAAACCGUUCGUAGUUCGGAUUGUAGGCUGCAACUCGCCUACAUGAAGCCGGAAUUGCUAGUAAUCGCGGAUCAGCAUGCCGCGGUGAAUCCGUUCCCGGGCCUUGUACACACCGCCCGUCACACCACGAGAAUGGGCAACACCCGAAGUCGGUGGGGUAACCUUUACGGGAGCUAGCCGCCGAAGGUGGGGCCUGUGAUUGGGGUG
rnacentral:rRNA from 1 species